UUGAACGCGAAGGACCUUACCAGGUCUUGACAUCCCGCUGACCGCUCUGGAGACAGAGCUUCCCUUCGGGGCAGCGGUGACAGGUGGUGCAUGGUUGUCGUCAGCUCGUGUCGUGAGAUGUUGGGUUAAGUCCCGCAACGAGCGCAACCCUUAUUUCUAGUUGCCAGCAUUCAGUUGGGCACUCUAGAGAGACUGCCGUCGACAAGACGGAGGAAGGCGGGGAUGACGUCAAAUCAUCAUGCCCCUUAUGACCUGGGCUACACACGUGCUACAAUGGUUGGUACAACGGGAUGCUACCUCGCGAGAGGACGCCAAUCUCUUAAAACCAAUCUCAGUUCGGAUUGUAGGCUGCAACUCGCCUACAUGAAGUCGGAAUCGCUGAGUAAUCGCGGAUCAGCAUGCCGCGGUGAAUACGUUCCCGGGUCUUGUACACACGCA
rnacentral:rRNA from 1 species